GAUGAACGCUGGCGGCGUGCCUAAUACAUGCAAGUCGAGCGAACAGACGAGGAGCUUGCUCCUCUGACGUUAGCGGCGGACGGGUGAGUAACACGUGGAUAACCUACCUAUAAGACUGGGAUAACUUCGGGAAACCGGAGCUAAUACCGGAUAAUAUAUUGAACCGCAUGGUUCAAUAGUGAAAGACGGUUUUGCUGUCACUUAUAGAUGGAUCCGCGCCGCAUUAGCUAGUUGGUAAGGUAACGGCUUACCAAGGCAACGAUGCGUAGCCGACCUGAGAGGGUGAUCGGCCACCCUGGAACUGGGACCCGGUCCAGACUCCUACGGGAGGCAGCAGUAGGGAAUCUUCCGCAAUGGGCGAAAGCUUGACGGAGCAACGCCGCGUGAGUGAUGAAGGUCUUCGGAUCGUAAAACUCUGUUAUUAGGGAAGAACAAAUGUGUAAGUAACUAUGCACGUCUUGACGGUACCUAAUCAGAAAGCCACGGCUAACUACGUG
rnacentral:rRNA from 1 species